rnacentral:rRNA from 1 species
UCGAACGGUAACAGGAAGAAGCUUGCUUCUUUGCUGACGAGUGGCGGACGGGUGAGUAAUGUCUGGGAAACUGCCUGAUGGAGGGGGAUAACUACUGGAAACGGUAGCUAAUACCGCAUAACGUCGCAAGACCAAAGAGGGGGACCUUCGGGCCUCUUGCCAUCGGAUGUGCCCAGAUGGGAUUAGCUAGUAGGUGGGGUAACGGCUCACCUAGGCGACGAUCCCUAGCUGGUCUGAGAGGAUGACCAGCCACACUGGAACUGAGACACGGUCCAGACUCCUACGGGAGGCAGCAGUGGGGAAUAUUGCACAAUGGGCGCAAGCCUGAUGCAGCCAUGCCGCGUGUAUGAAGAAGGCCUUCGGGUUGUAAAGUACUUUCAGCGGGGAGGAAGGGAGUAAAGUUAAUACCUUUACUCAUUGACGUUACCCGCAGAAGAAGCACCGGCUAACUCCGUGCCAGCAGCCGCGGUAAUACGGAGGGUGCAAGCGUUAAUCGGAAUUACUGGGCGUAAAGCGCACGCAGGCGGUUUGUUAAGUCAGAUGUGAAAUCCCCGGGCUCAACCUGGGAACUGCAUCUGAUACUGGCAAGCUUGAGUCUCGUAGAGGGGGGUAGAAUUCCAGGUGUAGCGGUGAAAUGCGUAGAGAUCUGGAGGAAUACCGGUGGCGAAGGCGGCCCCCUGGACGAAGACUGACGCUCAGGUGCGAAAGCGUGNGGAGCAAACAGGA